rnacentral:sRNA from 1 species
UCGUAUGCACCUGAAAUAGACCUAGGAUC